UCCCCCGCAUUUGGAAUGUAAAAACUCUCACUCGCACUUGCCUUCAUUUUGCCAAUUCCUACCUGCAUUCUUGCCCCAUCCUUUCUUACUAUCAGAUUACAAAUGUGGAAAGCAGUAUUUCAAAUCCAUUCCAGCAGAACUGUUGCAGUGCCCAGCUCUGACACAUGUGAGGAGCAAAGCAUUUGGAGCAUCCUUCACAGCCAGAGAUAAAUGAAUUGAAUAUCAGGCUCCUUUUCAAGUAAAACCUGAACAUGACCAUCUAAUACUACCAUAAAAGAGAAUGAUUUCUUUCUUGGGAAGCAACUCAAUUUCUAACCCUUUUCCAGUGGAAGAACUGUCUUAAAGCAGUUGAUGGAACUGUAGCAACAUCUCAGCAGUUUCCAGAUGGCAUUCCUCCAAAUCAUUUCUCUGGUUUUACUACUGCAGGAUGUACUGAGUAGUACAGAAUUUUCCAAAUUCUCAUGUGAACCAUAUGUUGGAGAACGUGGAAAAAAUACUAAUAUUACUUGCAAGAGCAACCACAUUAUUACAGAUGUCACAAUGAAAUUCUGCUCUUAUAAUGAAAGCAGUUGUCCAGAAGAAAGUGAAAUCAACACGUUUGCUGGGAAGUAUACCUCCGAUGAUGGAAGAAUUUCACUGACGUUGGAUAAUUUUGCCAUUCUGAUUUUCAACAAUGUACAAAUAUCAGAUGAGGGAUAUUAUAAUAUUUUUCUUAAAGCUGACAAGGGAUAUGACACACUGAAUUCCUUUCUAAACAUUGUUGCACCCUAUACGAAACCACAGAUCACAAGAAAGAAUGAGACUGUUGUAUGCACAGCAGCUGGAGGAUAUCCAAUCAAGCACCUCUAUUGGUAUGAUAAUAAUGGAACCAAUCUGACUCACAAUUCAAAGUGUGAGCAUAUAAAAGGUGUGAAUGGCUCAUACUCUCUCAAAAGUUCUCUACAGCUGGAUUCUUUUGCCAAUGAAAUAACAUACUGCUGUACUUUCAACAACAGAGACAGUUCUCAUCCACUACAAACUUUUGAUUGCAUGACAUUUGAAAAUGGCAUAGUCAACAAAUCUGUAUCUGAAAAUACCACAAGAAAUUCCAUUCUGAUCCCGUUCCUGAUUAUCGUAGUGGCUGUUGCUAUUGCUGGGGUUUUUUACUGGACAAAAAAGAAAGGUGGCACUAAAUUAUGCUGGCAACAAGUUCCAGUUAUUUAAAAAAAGAAUUUCCUCUGGAUGUUGUUUCUCACAGAAGAGUACCAAUUCUGGAAGAAUCUUACUGAGACCAGAGAGAGAGAGAGAGAGAGAGAGGAAAAAAUCAAGGAAUAUUCAUUAUCAAGAUAUAGCCAUUGAUUCGAACAUUAAUGUGAAUGAAAUUAUUGUGGAUGGUGCUUUCUUUUGAUAAUGUACAUAUAGAUAUGUGAACUUU